UACGAAGGGGGCUAGCGUUGCUCGGAAUCACUGGGCGUAAAGGGCGCGUAGGCGGAUCUUUAAGUCGGGGGUGAAAUCCUGAGGCUCAACCUCAGAAUUGCCUUCGAUACUGGAGAUCUUGAGACCGGAAGAGGUGAGUGGAACUGCGAGUGUAGAGGUGAAAUUCGUAGAUAUUCGCAAGAACACCAGUGGCGAAGGCGGCUCACUGGCCCGGUACUGACGCUGAGGUGCGAAAGCGUGGGGAGCAAACAGG
rnacentral:rRNA from 1 species